GGGUUGUGAGGUUAAGCGACUAAGCGUACACGGUGGAUGCCCUGGCAGUCAGAGGCGAUGAAGGGCGUGCUAAUCUGCGAUAAGCGCCGGUAAGGUGAUAUGAACCGUUAUAACCGGCGAUACCCGAAUGGGGAAACCCAGUGUGAUUCGUCACACUAUCAUUAACUGAAUCCAUAGGUUAAUGAGGCGAACCGGGGGAACUGAAACAUCUAAGUACCCCGAGGAAAAGAAAUCAACCGAGAUUCCCCCAGUAGCGGCGAGCGAACGGGGAGGAGCCCAGAGCCUGAAUCAGCAUGUGUGUUAGUGGAAGCGUCUGGAAAGGCGCGCGAUACAGGGUGACAGCCCCGUACACAAAAGCGCAUGUGCUGUGAGCUCGAUGAGUAGGGCGGGACACGUGGUAUCCUGUCUGAAUAUGGGGGGACCAUCCUCCAAGGCUAAAUACUCCUGACUGACCGAUAGUGAACCAGUACCGUGAGGGAAAGGCGAAAAGAACCCCGGCGAGGGGAGUGAAAAAGAACCUGAAACCGUGUACGUACAAGCAGUGGGAGCACCCUUUGGGUGUGACUGCGUACCUUUUGUAUAAUGGGUCAGCGACUUAUAUUCUGUAGCAAGGUUAACCGAAUAG
rnacentral:rRNA from 1 species